CAUGUACUCGCUCCAUCCGGAAAUACUUGUCAUCAAAAUGGAUGAAAAGAGAUGUAUCUAGAACUAAAAUACGUCUAGAUACAUCCCCUUUUAUCCAUUUUGAUGACAAGUAUUUUGGAUGGAGGGAGUAAUUU
rfam:Triticum aestivum genome assembly, contig: Triticum_aestivum_CS42_TGACv1_scaffold_289017_4AL